AAGUCACGCAACGAGUGAGCGAGUCAGGGAUAGGACCAGGAUUUAAAAUCUCGCCGCUCCCGGCCGGGUGGUGGGCCCAUAUCCUGGGUAGCCUCUAGGAAGCGCUAGACACAUGUUGUCAGCUUGGAUAUGUACAUUCACAUCACAACUGGAGUAAAGAGGCAGAAAUGAAAAUAAAAACUGAAAUACAAGCAUCUGGCCUCCUUUGAAGAUCUUUCUCUGUUAUCACCACAGUACUUGGCUCCUGAGGUGGCGCUGGCCAUGAAGGUAC